CAUGCAAGUCGAGCGAGAACCAGGGCUUCGGCCCUGGGGACAGCGGCGAACGGGUGAGUAACACGUGGAUAACCUGCCCUCGGCACCGGAAUAGCCCGGGGAAACCCGGAUUAAUGCCGGAUAGCCCCACAUCCCUGCGGGGAACGUGGGAAAAGGUAGCUUUGGCCUCCGGCCGAGGAUGAGCCCGCGGCCGAUUAGCUUGUUGGUGAGGUAACGGCUCACCAAGGCGACGAUCGGUAGCUGGUCUGAGAGGACGAUCAGCCACACUGGGACUGAGACACGGCCCAGACUCCUACGGGAGGCAGCAGUGGGGAAUCUUGCGCAAUGGGCGAAAGCCUGACGCAGCGACGCCGCGUGCGGGAAGAAGGCCUUCGGGUUGUAAACCGCUUUCAGGAGGGACGAAGCCACUCAGGUUAAUAGCCGAGAGGGUGACGGUACCUCCAGAAGAAGCCCCGGCUAACUACGUGCCAGCAGCCGCGGUAAUACGUAGGGGGCUAGCGUUGUCCGGAUUUAUUGGGCGUAAAGAGCGUGUAGGCGGCCAUGUAGGUCCGGUGUGAAAACUCGAGGCUUAACCUCGAGAUGUCAUCGGAAACCAUUUGGCUAGAGUCCGGAAGAGGAGAGUGGAAUUCCUGGUGUAGCGGUGAAAUGCGCAGAUAUCAGGAAGAACACCAAUGGCGAAAGCAGCUCUCUGGGACGGUACUGACGCUGAGACGCGAAAGCGUGGGGAGCGAACAGGAUUAGAUACCCUGGUAGUCCACGCCGUAAACGAUGGGCGCUAGGUGUGGGCGGUGUCGACUCCGUCCGUGCCGAAGCUAACGCAUUAAGCGCCCCGCCUG
rnacentral:rRNA from 1 species